UACGUAGGGUGCAAGCGUUGUCCGGAAUUAUUGGGCGUAAAGAGCUCGUAGGCGGCUUGUCGCGUCGGCUGUGAAAACCCGGGGCUCAACCCCGGGCCUGCAGUCGAUACGGGCAGGCUAGAGUCCGGCAGGGGAGACUGGAAUUCCUGGUGUAGCGGUGAAAUGCGCAGAUAUCAGGAGGAACACCGGUGGCGAAGGCGGGUCUCUGGGCAGUAACUGACGCUGAGGAGCGAAAGCGUGGGGAGCAAACAGG
rnacentral:rRNA from 1 species